UAACAGAGGGUUCGAUCCUGGCUCAGAACGCUGGCGGGAUGCUUUUACACAUGCAAGUCGAACGGCAGCACGGACUUCGGUCUGGUGGCGAGUGGCGAACGGGUGAGUAAUGUAUCGGAACGUGCCUAGUAGCGGGGGAUAACUACGCGAAAGCGUAGCUAAUACCGCAUACGCCCUUCGGGGGAAAGCGGGGACCUUCGGGCCUCGCACUAUUAGAGCGGCCGAUAUCGGAUUAGCUAGUUGGUGGGGUAACGGCUCACCAAGGCAGACGAUCCGUAGCUGGUUUGAGAGGACGACCAGCCACACUGGGAUCGGAGACACGGCCCAGACUCCUACGGGAGGCAGCAGUGGGGAAUUUUGAAUGGGGAAACCCCGAUCCAGCCAUCCCGCGUGUGCGAUGAAGGCCUUCGGGUUGUAAAGCACUUUUGGCAGGAAAGAAACGGCACGGGAUAAUACUCCCGUGCAACUGACGGUACCUGCAGAAUAAGCACCGGCUAACUACGUGCCAGCAGCCGCGGUAAUACGUAGGUGCAAGCGUUAAUCGGAAUUACUGGGCGCAAAGCGUGCGCAGCAGGCGGUUCGGAAAGGAAAGAUGCGGAAAUCCCAGAGCUUAACUUUGGAACUACUUAAUCACCGAGCUAGAGUGUGUCAGAGGGAGGUGGAAUUCCGCGUGUGGCAGUGAAUGCGUAGAUAUGCGGAGGAACACCGAUGGCGAAGGCAGCCUCCCGGGAUAACACUGACGCCUGCGCACGAAAGCGUGGGGAGCAAACAGGAUUAGAUACCCCGGUGUCCACGCCCUAAGCGAUGUCAACUAGCUGUUGGGGCCUUCGGGCCUUGCAGCGCAGCUAACGCGUGAAGUUGACCGCCUGGGGAGUACGGUCGCAAGAUUAAAACUCAAAGGAAUUGACGGGGACCCGCACAAGCGGUGGAUGAUGUGGAUUAAUUGAUGCAACGCGAAAACCUUACCUACCCUUGACAUGUCUGGAAUCCUGAAGAGAUUUGGGAGUGCUCGCAAGAGAACCGGAACACAGGUGCUGCAUGGCUGUCGUCAGCUCGUGUCGUGAGAUGUUGGGUUAAGUCCCGCAACGAGCGCAACCCUUGUCAUUAGUUGCUACGAAAGGGCACUCUAAUGAGACUGCCGGUGACAAACCGAGGGAAGGUGGGGAUGACGCUUGCGUCCUCAUGGCUCCUUAUGGGUAGGGCUUCACACGUCACACAAUGGUCGGGACAGAGGGUCGCCAACCUGCGAGGGGGAGCCAAUCCCAGAAACCCGAUCGUAGUCCGGAUCGCAGUCUGCAACUCGACUGCGUGAAGCCGGAAUCGCUGGUAAUCGCGGAUCAGCAUGUCGCGGUGAAUACGCCGUUCCCGGUCGCAGGUACACCGCCCGUCACACCAUGGGAGUGGGUUUUACCAGAAGUAGUUAGCCUAACCGUAAGGAGGGCGAUUACCACGGUAGGAUUCAUGACUGGGGUGAAGUCGUAACAAGGUAA
rnacentral:rRNA from 1 species